rnacentral:rRNA from 1 species
AUUGAACGCUGGCGGCAUGCUUUACACAUGCAAGUCGAACGGUAACAGGCCUUCGGGUGCUGACGAGUGGCGAACGGGUGAGUAAUGCAUCGGAACGUACCCAGAGGUGGGGGAUAACGCAGCGAAAGCUGUGCUAAUACCGCAUGUGAUCUGAGGAUGAAAGCGGGGGACCGAGCAGCAAUGUUUGGCCUCGCGCCUUUGGAGCGGCCGAUGUCGGAUUAGCUAGUUGGUGGGGUAAAGGCCUACCAAGGCGACGAUCCGUAGCUGGUCUGAGAGGACGGCCAGCCACACUGGGACUGAGCCACGGCCCAGACUCCUACGGGAGGCAGCAGUGGGGAAUUUUGGACAAUGGGCGCAAGCCUGAUCCAGCAAUGCCGCGUGCGGGAAGACGGCCUUCGGGUUGUAAACCGCUUUUGGCAGGAACGAAACGGUGUCCGCUAAUACCGGGCGCUAAUGACGGUACCUGCAGAAUAAGCACCGGCUAACUACGUG